rnacentral:rRNA from 1 species
GGGAGGCAGCAGUGGGGAAUUUUGGACAAUGGGCGCAAGCCUGAUCCAGCAAUGCCGCGUGCAGGAUGAAGGCCUUCGGGUUGUAAACUGCUUUUGUACGGAACGAAACGGUCCUUUCUAAUACAAGGGACUAAUGACGGUACCGUAAGAAUAAGCACCGGCUAACUACGUGCCAGCAGCCGCGGUAAUACGUAGGGUGCGAGCGUUAAUCGGAAUUACUGGGCGUAAAGCGUGCGCAGGCGGUUAUAUAAGACAGAUGUGAAAUCCCCGGGCUCAACCUGGGACCUGCAUAUGUGACUGUAUAGCUAGAGUACGGUAGAGGGGGAUGGAAUUCCGCGUGUAGCAGUGAAAUGCGUAGAUAUGCGGAGGAACACCGAUGGCGAAGGCAAUCCCCUGGACCUGUACUGACGCUCAUGCACGAAAGCGUGGGGAGCAAACAGGAUUAGAUACCCUGGUAGUCCACGCCCUAAACGAUGUCAACUGGUUGUUGGGUCUUCACUGACUCAGUAACGAAGCUAACGCGUGAAGUUGACCGCCU